rnacentral:tRNA from 1 species
GUGGUUAUAGUUCAAUGGUAGAAACAACUAUUUGUGGCAUAGUUAAUUUGAGUUCAAUUCUCAAUAACCGCC